rnacentral:lncRNA from 1 species
CGGGAGCCCCGCCCACCUGCCAGCCCUGGCUGGGUCCAGUUGCGCGAGUUAACCGGGCUUGGGAGGUGGCGGGGUCUGUGACCUGUGACCCCCUCUCCAGCUGCUUCUCCACGGACACGCUCUGGUUCUUGGGCCCACGCUGCGAGGUGGCCGUCCAGUGGAGGGCGCUGGUCGGGGGCCUGGCCGGGGCCGGGGCGCUGCUGCUGCUGCUGCUCCUGGCGCUGACAUUCUUCGUCAGGCGCUGGAGGAGGAGCGGCCGAGGCGGAGCCCGGUCCUGGGACUACGACAAGAAAUGGUUUGAGAUUUGGGAUGAGGACACCGCAGGGACUUUUUCCAACUCGGGCUUCCAGGAUGACCAACCUUGUGCACACCCAGAGACCUGAGGUGGACUUGUCCUCGAUGUGAGCCCUGCCCUACCCUGUCCACCUGCCCUGGACAGCGGGAAGGAAGCAUCUGCUCUGCAUCCAUUUCAAGAGAUGGCCAAGGACUCGUGCAGCUCAGCCUCCUGGAAUCCUGGGCAAAAUCAGACUGUCCCCAGACCGGCACCCUCUCAACUUGGAUGAAACCCACCUGCAAACCCAGGUCAAAUCCAGGAUCUUCCACUGUGGGACCUUGGGCAGCUCAGUAGCUUCUCUGAACUUGUGAAAUGCCUAUAGCAUACUUGUCCUGAUACCUUGAACAGUCAUUGUGCAAACCAGAUGUGGUCACUCAGACCUCUGUCCCAAUGCACCUUCCUGUGUCAGCCCUCAUCUUAUGUGGCCUCUCUCAGAUCCCCAGUCCCCACAUCCUUUGCCCAUCUCAGGCCUCAGUCUCUAGUUCCCUGUGCGCAUCCCUACCACCUGCCCCCCAACACCUGUCACCAGCCUUCAACCCAUCCCUGCCUCCUACCCUCUGCUAAAGUGACUCUCUACGGCGCCCCUUCCCCCAUUCCUUAUAUCUUCUCCCCCUCUAAACCCACUUCUUAAUCACGCCCCUCCCCUAUCCAGCUCCCAGCCCUACAUCUCUCCCCAUUUAUGUUUUCUGCCCUUACCCAUCCUUGUUCCUUCCACCCUAAAUCCUUAACCCCCAUCCCAGCAUCCCAGUCCUAAGUCCUUCCCUGCCCCACCCCUGUCCCUGUGCGCACUGCCACUUAGGACCCCUAGCUGGUACUCCCCAGGCCCUAGUUCCCCCUUCUGAGGCUCCAUCCCUUCCUCUCCCACAAGGGCCCUGGAUGCCCGUGGGUGGGGGUGGGAUGUGGGGUGUGGGUUUCCAGGUCCUCCAGGAUGAGGGGAAGUGGGACCCUGAGGUGAGGAAGCUCCCUCAGCCCCCUUCUCCUUUCCUAACUCCAUCCCCUCCCUUACUGCCUCACCUCUCUUUCCCACCCCCUUGCCAGCUCCUCCUCUCCCUUCCUCUCCUGGGUCUCACCCCAUCCCUGCAGUAGCCUCUCAGCCCAGAAGCCCACAGCCUCCUUCGCAGGAAGGUCUCAUUUGGGGACAGGAAUUCUGCAAUCCUCCAAUUCUCCCAUGUGAACACAAUAUAGCAUUUAUUGUAAACAA